UGAGGCAAGAGAAGACAGUGUCCACCCAGGACCCUCAGGCACUAAGCACUGGCCCUUCCUCUGCUUUUUUGUUGUUGUUAUUUUCCAGGCAUUCAACUGAUUAGAUGUGGCCCACCCACACUGGGGAGGACGAUCUGCUCUACAGAGCCCACUAAUUCAAAUGCUAAUCUCUUCCUGAAACACCCUGGCAGAUGCACCUGGAAUCACAUUUCAUCCUGGCAUCCUGUACGAGGUCAAGGUGACACAUAAAAUGAAUAUCACCAGGACUUUUCUUUCCUUCCAUAGCUCAAUCUCGGGGCCCCACCCAUGUUCUGGGGGCUCGGAAACAUUUCAGACUGCACGGGAUUAUUGAAAAAUGCGGACCAUGUUUUGGGCACCCCCGAGAGCAUCUCCCAUGGGGUAAGCAGUGUGAGGGCAGCUUAAGUGUCUUCAUGAACCCUUGAAUGUCAGGCUCUUUCAAGUGAUUAUUAUUAUUUAAAAAAUAUUUUAUUUAUUUCUUCAUGAGAGACAUGCAGAGAGAGGCAAAGACACAGGCAGAGGGAAAAGCAAGCUCCUGCAGGGAGCCAGAUGUGGGACUUGAUCCCAGGACCCCAGGAUCAUGGCCUGAGCCGAAGGCAGACGUUCAACCACUGAGCCACCCAGGCGUCCCUCAGGUGUUUAUUUCUUCAGGUUAACAUGCUCUUGUCUUGCAGAGGAAAGCUUUGGCUGUGGAUGCUGUUGUCUGAAAGUGGGCUUCCCAGUGGGAAGUCAGAGUCUGCCUGUGGCUCUUCCUUCUUUGCGGAGAAAAACAGUGGUGUCGCAGAGACAGGAGCCACGGUGGUUGUGAGUGACGGGAGGAGGCUUGGACAAGACGGGCACUGACCCGAGGACAGCAAGCCCACGCCCGCAAGAGGACAGCGGGACUCCUGCGUGAGAAUGGGGCACAUCCUGGGAAUAGAUCAGACCUGGCCGUGCCCCUGAGACUGCAUGGCCCUUGGAGUCGGGAGUGAAUCACGUCCUGAAAUUCAACCAGAUUUCCAGCUGGAGGCCAGGUGAACCCGCGAACAUGAACUCCCUCCCUCGUUAAACACAUCCAUUGACUUUUGGGUUUGCUGGGUGAAUUGACAAAAUGGUGCUCUCUCGGGCUGGGGUGGGGGGGGAAUAACCUGCCCUGGAGCCUGCGAAUACCACAUAAUAGCAUGUGGCUAAUGUGCGUUCGACAGCAGUAGUAAUAGAGGGUUCUGUUAGCACCAGACCAAGAAUACACCGGCUCGGAAUGGGAGUUCUCCCCCGUGAAAGCCUCCUGGGACUGCCUGCCUCUGAGCGCGCCGCCCGGGCUUUAUCCUCCUCCUGCACUGACAACCGGUCACUUGUGGGACUGGAUUGGCUGGUUCCUUCCGUUCUGGAGACAAUAUUAGCCAUUUCAAUGUGAAAGUACCCUUGAAACUGCCAGCCGUCGCCCGGCGGAGGAGUCCACACACGAGCGCCACCAUCAGAGGAAUGCACCGCCCACCGGAGCGAGCCCCAGGGACAGCGAGGACACGGUGCCCUACAAGUGCCUGGCAACAACAGAUGGGGAUCCUGCGGGCGCCAUCCGAACCCGAGGAGCUGGGAGACGAGAGUGAGGUGCAAGCUGCAUGAUUCCACUCACAGAAAGUCAGGGGAGACCGUGUCCCGCUGUUAGAAGUCAGGGUGAGGGUGACCCGGGCGCGGUCAUGUGGCCAGGCAGUGGCCUUCUGCGGGGCUGCAGCGUGGGAUAAGCAGCACCGAGCGAGCCCCA
rnacentral:lncRNA from 1 species